rnacentral:rRNA from 1 species
GAUCCUGGCUCAGGAUGAACGCUGGCGGCGUGCUUAACACAUGCAAGUCGAACGAUGAAGCCCAGCUUGCUGGGUGGAUUAGUGGCGAACGGGUGAGUAACACGUGAGUAACCUGCCCUUAACUCUGGGAUAAGCCUGGGAAACUGGGUCUAAUACCGGAUAGGAGCGUCCACCGCAUGGUGGGUGUUGGAAAGAUUUAUCGGUUUUGGAUGGACUCGCGGCCUAUCAGCUUGUUGGUGAGGUAAUGGCUCACCAAGGCGACGACGGGUAGCCGGCCUGAGAGGGUGACCGGCCACACUGGGACUGAGACACGGCCCAGACUCCUACGGGAGGCAGCAGUGGGGAAUAUUGCACAAUGGGCGCAAGCCUGAUGCAGCGACGCCGCGUGAGGGAUGACGGCCUUCGGGUUGUAAACCUCUUUCAGUAGGGAAGAAGCGAAAGUGACGGUACCUGCAGAAGAAGCACCGGCUAACUACGUGCCAGCAGCCGCGGUAAUACGUAGGGUGCGAGCGUUAUCCGGAAUUAUUGGGCGUAAAGAGCUCGUAGGCGGUUUGUCGCGUCUGUCGUGAAAGUCCGGGGCUUAACCCCGGAUCUGCGGUGGGUACGGGCAGACUAGAGUGCAGUAGGGGAGACUGGAAUUCCUGGUGUAGCGGUGGAAUGCGCAGAUAUCAGGAGGAACACCGAUGGCGAAGGCAGGUCUCUGGGCUGUAACUGACGCUGAGGAGCGAAAGCAUGGGGAGCGAACAGGAUUAGAUACCCUGGUAGUCCAUGCCGUAAACGUUGGGCACUAGGUGUGGGGACCAUUCCACGGUUUCCGCGCCGCAGCUAACGCAUUAAGU